UCAGUGAGUCAUCGAAAUUUGAACGCAUAUGCACUCCGGGUUAUCCUGGAAUAUGCCUGUAUCAGUGUCC